GACGAACGCUGGCGGCGCGCUUAACACAUGCAAGUCGAGCGAGAACCAGGGCUUCGGCCCUGGGGACAGCGGCGAACGGGUGAGUAACACGUGGGUAAUCAACCCUCGGCACCGGAAUAGCCCGGGGAAACCCGGAUUAAUGCCGGAUGGCCCGCCGGCCUUACGAGGCUGGUGGAAAAGGUAGCUUCGGCCUCCGGCCGGGGACGAGCCCGCGGCGGAUUAGCUUGUUGGUGGGGUAAUGGCCUACCAAGGCCGCGANCCGUAGCUGGUCUGAGAGGACGAUCAGCCACACUGGGACUGAGACACGGCCCAGACUCCUACGGGAGGCAGCAGUGGGGAAUCUUGCGCAAUGGGCGAAAGCCUGACGCAGCGACGCCGCGUGGGGAAGAAGGCCUCGGUU
rnacentral:rRNA from 1 species